UACGGGGGGAGCAAGCGUUGUUCGGAUUUACUGGGCGUAAAGGGCGCGUAGGCGGUCAGCACAAGUCAGUUGUGAAAUCUCCGGGCUUAACUCGGAAAGGUCAACUGAUACUGUGCGACUAGAGUGCGGAAGGGGCAACUGGAAUUCUUGGUGUAGCGGUGAAAUGCGUAGAUAUCAAGAGGAACACCUGCGGCGAAGGCGGGUUGCUGGGCUGACACUGACGCUGAAGCGCGAAAGCUAGGGGAGCGAACGGG
rnacentral:rRNA from 1 species